UACGUAGGGUGCGAGCGUUGUCCGGAAUCACUGGGCUUAAAGGGCGCGUAGGCGGACUAUCAAGUCUGGGGUGAAAUCCCGCGGCUCAACCGUGGAACUGCCUCAGAUACUGACGGUCUCGAGGGAGGUAGGGGCAUGCGGAACUGUAGGUGGAGCGGUGAAAUGCGUUGAUAUCUACAGGAACUCCGGUGGCGAAAGCGGCGUGCUGGACCUCUUCUGACGCUGAGGCGCGAAAGCUAGGGGAGCAAACGGG
rnacentral:rRNA from 1 species